rnacentral:rRNA from 1 species
UACGAAGGGUCCAAGCGUUAUCCGGAUUUAUUGGGUUAAAGGGUGCGCAGGCGGGGCCUUAAGUUCAGUGGUGAAAUCUCGUAGCUCAACUACGAAACUGCCAUUGAUACUGAGGUUCUUGAAUGUAGUUGACGUUAGUGGAGUGUGUCAUGUAGCGGUGAAAUGCUUAGAUAUGACACAGAACACCGAUCGCGAAGGCAGCUAACGAAGCUAUUAUUGACGCUCGAGGCACGACAGCAUGGGGAGCAAACAGG